rnacentral:lncRNA from 1 species
ACCAGGGUUAAGACUUCAACAUAUCUUUUGGGGGGAUACAAUUCAACCCACAAAAGAUGGCAAAUAGCUUUUCUAUCGAUGCGGCCCUGGUGGGUUCUGAGGAUUGAUGGAUGUUGUCUGCCAUGGACUUUGCAGGAAGAAGUGGCCACACAUGUUGCUGUCUGUGCUCCUGCAACAAAUCCAUCUCCUGGCUAUUAAGGCUGACAUAGCCUCUGUGGCCCAUGGGCUCCAGCAGGUGGAGCAGAGAUGCUGUCACCUUGGUCACUGGUUCCUGGCUCCUAGGGCAAGUCAGUGGUUCCUCCAGGAUCAAAAGCGUGCAAAGGAAGCCCGCAACACAGAGGGCAUGUGAGCCAGCACUCUCCCCUUCCCGCUGGGUAGUAACUCGGGCUCCGGUCUCCUUAGCAGCAACAAUCUCCUACGGACUCCAUCUCCUCCUCUCCCGUCUCUACAGACCUCAAGCCCUCUCAGGGCAGCCGCCAGUAGCUUACUGCCAAAUACAUGCUUUUCCAUGUAUUUUCUUACUUGACCUUUCUGUACUUUUUUGCUGAUGGGUGUCAGU